rnacentral:lncRNA from 1 species
GCGGCACGGGAAGUGGAGGGAGCACGCCCCAUAUUAGUGGUCCGGGCCCGGGCAGGCCCAGCUCAAAAGAGGGCAGACGCAGCGACACUUGUCCUUCACACACCCCCGUUCGGCGUAGUACCCCGAGAGCUCAGGAUGUGUGGCAGUUUUCGGAUGGAAGCUCAAGAGCCCCUAAGUUCUGAAAAACUCUGAAACCCCCCAGGGGCGGGGGCUGGACAUGCGCCCGCCCAGCCGAUGUCAGCGAGCUCCGUCAUCCUGCUAGUUUGUGAUGUUUUCUGACAGUAGCCUCCAGAGAGACAAGAGUCCUGCCGAGUCCUCCCAGCCUGGGCCCUGCCAGUGCCCAUUUUAUUUAUAUUUUUUUAAUAAAACGUAAAAAACAAAAAAAACAGACCCACAUUGGAACAGUGAAUCCGUCCCAUUCAGAGGGCCCUCGGACUGCCCCGCGGUCGAAGAGGCGUCCAACCCUUGUGAAACCAGCCGACCUAAUUACCCGUAUUGUGGAGAUGAGCAUGAGUCCCUAACCCCUCGUUUCUAUACAUUCUAUGUUGUCUUUUAAAAAGUGUGCUUAACAUUGACAUAAUAAAUGUUGGAGCUUU